AACAUACAAGCUAUUUAUAACAGAAACCUCAUCGAAGCAAAACAAAAACCAUGCACGGUAAUAACAUCUGACCAUACUCGGAGGAUCUUCUCAUCCUAGAUGUGCCCCAAGAGCCUCCAUGUAGACCAACUUGAAGUCGAGCCAUCAGAUCCUUUGAUGGUAUUCUUUAACAUCACACUCGCACCUUUUGGAUCAGCCUCCUAGUCUGCACCCCGCGGUCCAACAUCACAGUUCUCCUCACAUCAUGCAUCAAUGAAUCUCGAUACUUUCA
rnacentral:misc_RNA from 1 species